GACGAACGCUGGCGGCGUGCUUAACACAUGCAAGUCGAGCGGUAAGGACCCUUUCGGGGGUACGACGAGCGGCGAACGGGUGAGUAACACGUGGGUGACCUGCCCUCAGCUCUGGGAGUAAGCCUGGGAAACCGGGUCUAAUACUGGAUAUGACUCCAUGACGCAUGUUGUGGGGUGGAAAGCCUUGUGCGGCUGAGGAUGGGCCCGCGGCCUAUCAGCUUGUUGGUGGGGUGANGGCCUACCAAGGCGACGACGGGUAGCCGGCCUGAGAGGGCGACCGGCCACACUGGGACUGAGACACGGCCCAGACUCCUACGGGAGGCAGCAGUGGGGAAUCUUGCGCAAUGGGCGAAAAGCCUGACGCAGCGACGCCGCGUGAGGGAUGA
rnacentral:rRNA from 1 species